AUGCAAUCAGACACUAUAUGUUAUUAAUGUGUCCAUUAGUUGAAGCCAGAUUGUUACUAUGAGAGUGUUGUCACACAAAACAAACAAGUCACAUAGAACACUCCCUACAGCCAUCAGUCAAUAGUAUUACAUGUUAAGUAAUGUACCUUCACACUUCACUGGCGCCUAAACCUCAUCAUUUUAAUAAUUCAAUGUAAGACCCAACAAACUGAAGCUUCAACAACAACAUAAUCUGUUAAAACAUAUGUUGUCAGCGACAUGAGUCGGUAAGGAGAGCAC